CCCUUAGAUGUUCUGGGCUGCACGCGCGCUACACUGAUGCGAUCAACAAGUUUUUCCUAUGUCGAUAGACACGGGUAAUCUUUUGAACUCGCAUCGUGAUGGGGAUAGAUUAUUGUAAUUAUUAAUCUUCAACGAGGAAUUCCUAGUAGGUGCAAAUCAUCAGUUUGCAUCGAUUACGUCCCUGCCCUUUGUACACACCGCCCGUCGCUGCUACCGAUUGGUUGAUCUGGUGAAUUAUUCGGACUGCCGGCUGAAGGGGUUUCCUCAUCUGCCAGCGGAAAGUCUUGUUAACCCUAUCAACUAGAGGAAGCAGCAGUCGUAACA
rnacentral:rRNA from 1 species